UUCAGCUACCACUCAUUGGAAAAUGGAAGGUUCAAGGCAUGGACACCCGUGGACAGGUUCCAUUGCAUGGACACCCUCAUUGCUCUGAUCUUUGGGUAAAUCUGAUGCUGCAGACUUUGAGCAGAGAGAGCUGUGACUCGUGCCGAGCGGAUGCUGCCCUGCCUGUUGCAAACAACAGAUGACUUCAUUCAGGAGUGCUGCUUGCUGCUGCUGUGUUAGAGCCAGCCUUUAAUGGAAUCAGAUGUGCACAUUAAAUUAAUACGUUUUACAUGGA
rnacentral:lncRNA from 1 species